rnacentral:rRNA from 1 species
CCUACGGGGGGCAGCAGUGGGGAAUAUUGGACAAUGGGGGCAACCCUGAUCCAGCCAUGCCGCGUGUGUGAAGAAGGUCCUCGGGUUGUAAAGCACUUUCAGUGAGGAAGAACGCCUGGUGGUUAAUACCCAUCAGGAAAGACAUCACUCACAGAAGAAGCACCGGCUAACUCCGUGCCAGCAGCCGCGGUAAUACGGAGGGUGCGAGCGUUAAUCGGAAUUACUGGGCGUAAAGCGCGCGUAGGUGGCUUGAUAAGCCGGUUGUGAAAGCCCCGGGCUCAACCUGGGAACGGCAUCCGGAACUGUCAAGCUAGAGUGCAGGAGAGGAAGGUAGAAUUCCCGGUGUAGCGGUGAAAUGCGUAGAGAUCGGGAGGAAUACCAGUGGCGAAGGCGGCCUUCUGGACUGACACUGACACUGAGGUGCGAAAGCGUGGGUAGCAAACAGGAUUAGAUACCCCAGUAGUC